AUACCGGCCAGAGACCGAUAGCGCACAAGUAGAGUGAUCGAAAGAUGAAAAGCACUUUGAAAAGAGAGUUAAAAAGUACGUGAAAUUGUUGAAAGGGAAGCGGUUAUGACCAGACUUGGGCUUGGUUAAUCAUCUGGGGUUCUCCCCAGUGCACUUUUCCAGUCCAAGCCAGCAUCAGUUUUCGCCGGGGGAUAAAGACUUCGGGAAUGUGGCUCCCCUCGGGGAGUGUUAUAGCCCGUUGUGUAAUACCCUGGCGGGGACUGAGGUUCGCGCUUCUGCAAGGAUGCUGGCGUAAUGGUCAUCAACGACCCGUCUUGAAACACGGACC
rnacentral:rRNA from 1 species